UUACCAGGUCUUGACAUCCUCUGACAUCCUAGAGAUAGGACGUCCCCUUCGGGGGCAGAGUGACAGGUGGUGCAUGGUUGUCGUCAGCUCGUGUCGUGAGAUGUUGGGUUAAGUCCCGCAACGAGCGCAACCCUUGAUCUUAGUUGCCAGCAUUCAGUUGGGCACUCUAAGGUGACUGCCGGUGACAAACCGGAGGAAGGUGGGGAUGACGUCAAAUCAUCAUGCCCCUUAUGACCUGGGCUACACACGUGCUACAAUGGACAGAACAAAGGGCAGCGAAACCGCGAGGUUAAGCCAAUCCCACAAAUCUGUUCUCAGUUCGGAUCGCAGUCUGCAACUCGACUGCGUGAAGCUGGAAUCGC
rnacentral:rRNA from 1 species